rnacentral:tRNA from 1 species
UAAGUUUUAAGUUAAUUAAACUAAUGAUCUUCAAAAUCUUAAUUAUUGGUAAAUCCCCAUAAACUUAA